rnacentral:snRNA from 1 species
GCCAAUGAUUAGAGGCAUU